rnacentral:rRNA from 1 species
GACGAACGCUGGCGGCGUGCUUAACACAUGCAAGUCGAACGGAAAGGCCCUGCUUUUGUGGGGUGCUCGAGUGGCGAACGGGUGAGUAACACGUGAGUAACCUGCCCUUGACUUUGGGAUAACUUCAGGAAACUGGGGCUAAUACCGGCUAGGAGCUCCUGCUGCAUGGUGGGGGUUGGAAAGGUUCGGCGGUUGGGGCUGGACUCGCGGCUUAUCAGCUUGUUGGUGGGGUAGUGGCUUACCAAGGCUUUGACGGGUAGCCGGCCUGAGAGGGUGACCGGCCACAAUGGGACUGAGAUACGGCCCAGACGCCUACGGGAGGCAGCAGUGGGGAAUAUUGCACAAUGGGCGGAAGCCUGAUGCAGAAGCGCCGCGUGCGGGAUGUAGGCCUUCGGGUUGUAAACCGCUUUCGCCUGUGACGAAGCGUGAGUGACGGUAAUGGGUAAAGAAGCACCGGCUAACUACGUG